UACGGGGGGGGGCAAGCGUUGUUCGGAAUUACUGGGCGUAAAGCGCACGUAGGCGGGUCCUUAAGUCAGGGGUGAAAUCCCGGAGCUCAACUCCGGAACUGCCUUUGAUACUGGGGAUCUUGAGUCCGGAAGAGGUGAGUGGAACUCCGAGUGUAGAGGUGAAAUUCGUAGAUAUUCGGAAGAACACCAGUGGCGAAAGGCGGCUCACUGGUCCGGUACUGACGCUGAGGUGCGAAAGCGUGGGGAGCAAACAGG
rnacentral:rRNA from 1 species